CGUUAUCCGGAAUUAUUGGGCGUAAAGCGUCCGCAGGUGGCUAUUCAAGUCUGCGGUCAAAGACUGGGGCUUAACCCUGCAAAGGCCGUGGAAACUGAAGAGCUAGAGUGCAGUAGGGGUAGAGGGAAUUCCCGGUGUAGCGGUGAAAUGCGUAGAGCUCGGGAAGAACAUCGGUGGCGAAAGCGCUCUGCUGGACUGCAACUGACACUCAGGGACGAAAGCUAGGGGAGCGAAUGGG
rnacentral:rRNA from 1 species